CAGACAGCCAAUCCGGUUUCAAAGUCGAAGGUCAAUCACUCCAGAGGAAGUUUGAAAGAACUCCUCUCAUUGGACAAGAACAUGAAUGGGGUGUGAAUAACUUCUAAGUUUUAAAACCCCCGCUGCCCCUUACCUGUGCGGACUCUUUCUCCAGAUCCCCUCCCACGGCAACUUGGGAGAUGUCUCUCCCUCUUUACCUGUACAGAUGUUCCUCUCUGGAAUCCCCUCCCACAACAAGAUGCCACAAGAAGUCCCUCAGCAUAUGCCGGAUCUUGAUAUUAGACUUCCCAGGCUCUAGAAGUGUCAGACAGACCUGA
rnacentral:lncRNA from 13 species